rnacentral:rRNA from 1 species
AAUAGAUACCCGGGUAGUCCACGCCGUAAACGAUGAGUGCUAAGUGUUAGAGGGUUUCCGCCCUUUAGUGCUGCAGCUAACGCAUUAAGCACUCCGCCUGGGGAGUACGGCCGCAAGGCUGAAACUCAAAGGAAUUGACGGGGGCCCGCACAAGCGGUGGAGCAUGUGGUUUAAUUCGAAGCAACGCGAAGAACCUUACCAGGUCUUGACAUCCUCUGACAACCCUAGAGAUAGGGCGUUCCCCUUCGGGGGACAGAGUGACAGGUGGUGCAUGGUUGUCGUCAGCUCGUGUCGUGAGAUGUUGGGUUAAGUCCCGCAACGAGCGCAACCCUUGAUCUUAGUUGCCAGCAUUCAGUUGGGCACUCUAAGGUGACUGCCGGUGACAAACCAGAGGAAGGUGGGGAUGACGUCAAAUCAUCAUGCCCCUUAUGACCUGGGCUACACACGUGCCACAAUGGAUGGUACAAAGGGCAGCAAAGCCGCGAGGCCGAGCAAAUCCCAUAAAGCCAUUCUCAGUUCGGAUUGCGA